CACCAAAACUACGUCUAUUAGAGGAACGACAGAGACGUUUGAAGUGUCGUAUCAAUUUAUAGCGAUUCUACGUUAUUUCGUGACUCUUCUAAGAGUUUUUAGUUUGAUUUACCACUUACGAAAACAUGGUUGAGGAAGAGCCAAAGCUGACAGGCUUGUCGAAGUAUUUCAAUAGUAUUACCGACCGUGGCCGAAGAAAUGUAUCAGUGGCCACGCUUAGUUCGGUCGCAUUGAUCGCCCUAUACUUGUACUUGAAGCCGAAGAAACAAAAAGUAAAAGAAAAUUGAACAUAUUACAUAAUGAUAUGUUGUGUAGUGCGAUAAAAUGACGAUUCUUCGAAUAAAUAUCUAAAUGAUA